GGGGGGGUUGAGCUGCGGCGGUCCCGGUGCUCCCGCAGUGCCCCUCCCGAGCUGCCAGGCUGGAUUUUAUGGGAAUAUCGAUAGAAUUAAAGUUCCUUGUAAUUCCGUGAUAAAUGGGGUGUCUCUAGUAAGUAAGAUGAAGUGCGGUGCCGUGAAGUUGUUUAUCUGGAAAGUAAUUCUCAGAAACCUGACUUCUGACACUUGGUCAUAUAUUAAACCGGCGUCUUGAACGUUGUACUUCAGAUGCUCCUUUUCCCCCUUCCCCUCGCAGUUUGCUAUUUAUAAGACUUCGUAGGUGCGGGUGAGUUGCUGGGUAAUUUUUCACCAACUGUGAAAAGCAUCGUUUGCAACAGCCGAAGAAUUCUCUGCUUAGGAAAUAGUACGGGGAGAGUGGGCUCACGAAUAGAUAACAUCUCCCGACCGUGCCAUUAUCGGCACAAACCCGUGCGGCUGCGCUGCUCCCGGCAGCCAAAAGGCAGGGAGGGCACGCUGCGAGGCGAGCAGGCUAACGACACCUAGAUGGGAUCGCAGAGGCGAUUCUGCAGACCUAAAGCAUGCUCCGACGGCACGAACAACAUGAGCGUGGUUCUGCGCAGCCCCAAAGACACCCGGACAUCUGCCGGGUUUAUCUUAGAGACUGCAAUUAGUGACAAACCGAGUGCAACUCGGCUUGGCUUUCCUAUUCCUGCACACCAUCGGAACCAGCAAAAGUUCCCAGCUCACAGCAUAACCCCCCCCCCGCCCUCCAGGACGGCCCCAUUCCCCAGACUUGUUUUUCCCAUUGCAAGAUGAAUGUGGCACUGUAUGUCACUUAACGCGCUCGCCUAUGAGAGGCACAAAAAGUGAAGGUUAUUGCUUUUUGGAACGCACACUCGCAGUGUUCCACUUGCACGUUUGAUGGAUGUCUGUGGAAACACAGCUCCGGCCCCAUCAAACUGUUUGGAUUCAGAGUGCUCCUCUUGCAAACCAGUAGAUUUCUGAGUAAACUUGAGACGAAGAGCACAAAUUUGGGUGAGCUAAGGGGGAGCCUCUUCCUUAGCACUGAUGUGGGUGAGUGCAUGCGGAGCUCUGACCUCCAGGGCAGCACUGGAGUUACUGUACAGCAUUGUUCUGGUGUGAUGAUUGCAGAGCUGCCGCCCCAAAACGGCACGGCGUAGCAGAGAGAAAGGAUUAUUAGCAAUUUUUUGGAUCACCUUCAGGAGCAGCAACGCUCUCCUCCCUCCCCUCCGCCAUUCUCACUGUAGUGCUAUUUUCCUUUAUUAUUUGGCUAUUCACGACGGCUGUCUAAACAUUUACAGUCCCCUAUUAACAGCGUUUCUCCCCAAACAAUCGCACGCUUUCAUUUCAAUUAGAGCCAUUCAGGCUCGGGUUUUGCCACCAGGCCACGUCCCAGCCCCGCUCCCUUUCCCAGCACGGACCCAGGCAGCGCACAGCCCACAUCCCCACACCUCCUGCUCACAUCCCCACACCUCCUGCCCUGCUCCAGGUUAGGAGCUCAGACCACGACGCGUUCUGCCCUGGGUGCGGAUCAAGAACAACACAUUAAGAACAGUUACCGCUCCCUUUGUUUGCCCGGUGUCUGAUUUUUAUGGUGCAGAACUAAAGAGUGCCCGCUGAAUUUGACUAUGGAAGCGGGCAAAUUGCUUUCCAAAAGGCUUCUUCGGAGCACAGUGAUAAGGCACAACCCGCUCCUAGGUGCAGCGCCAGAUAAAUCCUUUUAACAGUCCUCAGAUCAGUUAACAGGGUGUCUUUUUUAUUAAGUGGAGCACCAGCAUAUGUACCACGCAUCCCGAUUUGCUGGUGGUGCUGCGGUGUCGGAGCAGAGGGAACAGAAGCAGCGGCAAACAAACGCCAUCGAUUAAUAUCUGUUUUUGCAUCGGUGUUGCCGAAUCCAUCAUUUCCACUGCUUGCUUAUCGUGUUUCUGAAACACUCAGAAUAUCCCAAAUAAGCCCGUGUGAUCCAGAAGGAACUUCUCUCUCGGGCUGGAGGUUGGUGCCACCAGGUUUGUGCUGCACUCACCCUAUGAUGCAUGUCCCACUUUACUCGUCUCCAUGAAUGGUUCAGCCUGGAUGUGAAAAUCAAUACAGACGUCCCUGAUGCCAAAAACCUAUUUGUCUAAAAGAUAUAAAAAGUGAAAUUGCAAUAAAGAUUUUUAUCGGGCUUUAUGGUGGAAUUCGUCAUUUAUAACUGGGAUGAUGAUGUUGGGUUAUAUAACGUGUUCGCUCUCAAAUUAGCUGAUGUGAGUAAAUAGAGGUAAUCUGGUAAAAUCUGGUGCCCAGGUUGAUCUCUGCAGAAAGCUACAGUUAAAGGAGGAGAAGAAAACAGUCACAUCAAUAUCACACCACUGAGCUGUCCCAGCAAAGCCCUGUGAUACGCACGAGGCGUUGGUAUCUAUUUUAGCUCUGGAAAAUCCUUGCUGCUUCUCUCCCUUCUGCUCUGCACUGAGUUGUUUCGGCAGCAAGGAGCAGUGGCAGCAUGAAAUAAUAUGUGAAUUUUAUGUGCUCUCUCUUCCUCAAAGCUGACUACCAGUGAGUGGCGAGGGGGGCACGAUACGGAGGUGGUGUUUUGAUGUGUGACUGCGAAGGGUGAGACGGCCAUUAUUAAGAGUGAUCGACUUCAGUGACUUUUAAACAAAGCUGUGAUUUAAUGUCUUAAAGCCCGAGAUGGCACAGACUUGUCGUUAGUUGGCGUGGUGGGCUGAGUGCCAUGCACUGGGCUUAUCUCGUGUGAGUAAAGCAUAGAAAUGUGUGGGGUAAGUGAUGGGGUCUUCGGCAGCACAAGGCUCUUGGCUUGCGUGGCCUUAUGGCAGAGGGGGGCUGUGCCAACGGGAGCACAUAAGGAUCUCACGUUACCUCCAACCUUCAAUUAUCGUGCUGAAUCUGGCCUAACCUGCUUAUCUCCUGAGAAUUACUCACUGGGUUUUGGCAGGAGGAGGUGUCAAUGAAAAUGAGACAGUUCUGGAGCCAGCAUCGCUGCCAGCAGCCAGGGCUUAAUUCUGGGCAGAGCUGGGGACAGUGUGUUCCUCUCCCUGCCAUGGCUCCAGCUGCUCCCAUCCCCAGCCCUCUCCACCAGAACUGAGAACAACCUGCAUUUCCCAGGAUUGCUUUACGGAGUCUUGGUGCAGAGAAGUGCAUGUUGUGAUGACAUCUGACGUCGUCCAGUGGCAUUCAUUGUCCACACCAAGCGGGAAUGGAAAGUUUCACGCCCCCUUCCCCUCCUGCUCCCCAGCAUUAGCUCACCAUUGUGGCGGGGCUGGGCAAACCACUUUGCAUUGGCCUCCAUCCGGAGUCCGGGUCAUGGGGAAAUGCUAAUCCUUAACAAAAAAGGAAAUGAUAAAAAUACCCAUGAAAUUAAUUUCCACACCUGCAGUCGAGAUUAAUAACAGCAACCGGAGUGGCAUCCCAUUUCAGUUCCCUGGAGGUGACUGACAGCCCUGGCCAUGAAUAUCAUACCAACCACCAGAGGAAUUCACUGUCUGAGGGAUCCACCGUGGAAAACAAUUGAUCCCCAGAGCUCCGCCUGCACAAUGGAAAAUGGCUUUAGUCAUGUAUUAGUCAUUUUAUCACAAGAUGGUAUUUCUGCACUGGGAGGUUUGCCCUCUGAGCCCAGCACAGAAGAACGGCGUUUGGCUUGGUAAUUUACACACAGGUUUUCAUCAUGUUUUCUUUAGGAGGAUGCGUGUAAAUGAUGAAGAGCAAUAAACUCACUCUUCUGCAGGUUAAUUCAUGCCAGUUUCCCGUGUGCUUUAUUACUGUCUGUGCUUUGCAUCGGCCCCGCACGUCCCUGUGAGCGGCACUGGUAAUUCACCGAGAUGGAAGCGCGCUGUCACAGUGAGGAAUCAGGAUGCCAACAUCUUCGUAUCACCAAAAUUAAACAGGUCCCCUAACUAAUAUACCGGGAUGUGUGAGAAUAUUGCUGUGACUCAUAAUCAGAGCUGCGCAGUCCAAACCCAAACUGGAUUUGGAGUGGUUGGGGCAAGGGCGAAAUUACAAAAAUAAAGGCAAUGAGAUGUGGAAGAGGAGUGAACGCCCACAGCAAACCAACGAUCUGCAUCAGCAGCCAGAAAAAUGGCUCCACCUUCCUGCUGAAAGACACAAUUAUUUCCCCGUAUUCACGCUGUGUUACUUGCUCAGUAGCUCACAUCAUUGAUUGGGCUCCAUUAUACCAAAUUCUAGAAUGCCUGAAGAGCUAAGUAUAAAGCAGGAGACAACAGAUACAAAAAUAGACGUGGACCACGAGGUAACCAUGAAACACCCUGCGUUGGGAUUGUCUCCUGCAAGCUGGGGUGAAUCAGUGCAAGGCAGGAGAUCACAAAGGAUAUCGGUGAAUAACCACCAUUAAGACACUUGUCCCACUGUGUUGGACACCACGCUAUCUUUCACAAAGUCUGUGACCGAAUGGCGUGCAAAAAUAAGGAUUGUGAUCCCUAGAGAUAACAUUACUCACCCUCAUUUAUUUUUUUCUCUGAAUAAAAGUCACAGUCUCCCAGCAAUAGCCAUUCUCAGCUGUGCCAUAGCAUUCUGAGUUCUGCCUUGCCAGUUUCCUGGCAGAUCCAGCAGCUAUCAGGUUCCUUGCUUGUUUCCUCUCCAGCCACGUGAUGUUUACAGUUAUUGGGUUUGAACAAACGGAGCAAAUUCAAUCGAAGAUGAUAUAUAAUAUAACAUAAUAAAAAUGAAAUGCACUUUACAUUUGUAUAUCAGCUUGUUAGCAGGCAACUGACCUCAACAAGAACUGCUUAGACACCUAUCUCUAUGCACCAGCAUGCAUACGUCUGUUUGGUACAGAAAUAUGCUUUCUGUUCAUAUUAUGACCCACUGCAUAUGAGAGAACAGCUAAAUACAACAACAGAUAUAUGUGAGAAUGGAUAUGUAAGAAGGCAAACCUGCCACCAUCAUCAGUCUCUAAAACAAAUGGUUACUCAGGAAGACAAAAUACUCUUCCCCUCCUAAGGAAACCCAAGCUAUAUUAUGCACACAAAAAACAUGCCCGUAGUUUUGGUGCCAUAAAGCAUAAAUCAUCACGUAGCCCUCUGCAGAUUGCCUCUCUGCACUGAACCGUUGGGCCACAUUCCCUGAGGUCCCCCAUCCUGCAGCAAUGAGCAGGACUGGAGGAGGUGGUGAGGCCGGCGGUGCUCCCAGGCCAACCUCUGCCCCUGCCACCCCGCAUCAGUCCUGCGAGCUUGGGGCUGAAAUCCAAGCAUGUCUUUGCAGGUGAUGGCAAUGCCAUGCCUACUUUUCUCUUUUUUAAAGGAUUGUAGGAAUUCUGGACCCGUCGCGGGUCUGCGAUCCCCAGUGCAGAAGGGAAAAGGAUUUCUAAUGAAAACCAGCUCCAGUUCUGAAUAUUUAAUACUGUGCCCAAGUGGUAACAGGAUGAUAAAGUUUUGAUAGGCCCGGUAUUGGCUUUUAUUUUUUUUAAGGGGGAAACUUCUCUCUCACUAACAGAAAAAGCAUUUUUAAUGCCAACAUCAAUAUAAAGCGCUGUUGGGACUUUUAUAUCAUUUCAAUAUCAGGCCUGCGUUCAAGGAGCAAAAAUAAAUGCAGUGUUCACAACCAUUUGAUAUUAUAGCUGAAUGGCUUUCAACAAGCUCUUGCCAUGUUUUUAUGCACAAAGUAUGAUUUGGGGGGUUGGGGAUGGAAAACGAGGGACUGGAGGGGAGGGGAAGCAGUUGCUAAUUUAUAGACAUUAGCUGGAAUGUUUGAGGGCAGUCUUAGCAGGGUCACACCAUCAUGCGUACACCAGGGCAUUUUGCAAAUAGGAGAAAUUCUUCUUUUUUUUUUUUUUGCCUUCUUUUUGCCUCUUCUGGCAGCAUCAAUAAAUUUGUUUGAUGCACUUUAAAUGUUUAAUUAAAACACGAUGUUAGCACAUUUACUGUAAGUGAUAA
ensembl:lncRNA